rnacentral:rRNA from 1 species
GACGAACCUUGCUAACGUUAUUCGGAAUUACUGGGCUUAAAGGGUGCGUAGGCGGUGCAGCAAGUCGGGUGUGAAAUCCCUCAGCUCAACUGAGGAACGGCGCCCGAAACUGCUGUGCUCGAGGAAGAUAGAGGUACGCGGAACUUAGGGUGGAGCGGUGAAAUGCGUUGAUAUCCUAAGGAACACCGGUGGCGAAAGCGCAUGACUGGCUUUGGUGUUCUGACGCUGAGGCACGGAAAGCUAGGGUAGCGAACGGG